GGGCACAUUGGAGAUGGUUAUCACAUCCGCUUAGCAUCGCGGUAUGAGAUGUGUCAUGCGGGGGGUGCUGGGUUCAAUUCCCAGUGUGUCCA